GAUUCUCACAACUUCUGCGUGCGAGCGCCCGCCCCACCGACCGCCCCGGCCCGGCCCGCAAGAGCCAGAGGAGCCGAGAGGAGCCCAGCGCCGGCCCAGCGGACUCCAGCUCGACGGAGCGGCCGCGCCCCGACCAGUUACUCCCCUGCUGGUGCCUCCCUCCUUGGCGCGCUUCCCACCUGCGAUCGGCGCCCUCUUCGCAGUCACGAACUCGCCAGCAGCUAGCAGCACUGACUAGUAGGAGGGCCCGCCGGAGGAGAGGAAGCCCCAGAGAGAUUGGUGAGGGUGAUUUCCCAGGAAGACGCAGUGUGCUCUGACUUCUGUGACAGUGAGCAACGGGACCAGUGGAUGUCCAGAUGCUGGCAAUGAGACAUGCUCUGGAGUCAGAAGACAGCGAAAAGAGAAGCAGAAGCCCCGGUGGCAAGAGUCUGAAGCAGGAAGGAUGACUGUAGCCUGUGGAUUGUACUGCAGUAGGAAACUGUCCUAGCAAGGCUCCACUUUGCCCCAGCUUCAAGCUGGAAAGGAGGAGAACAUGAAACAUUGCUUGAAGACAAUGGCCGAGACAGCAGGUCCCACCCUGCACAGCCACCAGCAUCUCUCCCCUCAGCCCUGUCUCCUCUUCUGCAGUUGGGAUCUGCACAUUUAAGCCUGAAAUUGUCCUGUGAAGUGAAGUAUGAUCGGACAGCCUCUUUUCAGCUUUUAUGACAAUGGAGACAGAGGAAUUGUGGCUCUUGCCAAGGUCACAGGAUUGGAAUACAGAGCCAAGCCACCCCAGGACAUGCAAGAGCCUCAGAAGGGAAAAAAGCCCAGCAGGAAGGGAGAACAAGUAGCCUCUGUCCUGAAGUUGUAACAGCCAGGGGCCAGGAUGGAGGAGGAGGACCCCAUAAUCUGCCCAUCUGGGACUUGGCAGGGGACCUGGGAAAAUGUACCCCAACCCAUCCCUUAAGGGCCUUUGUCUUUGGCCCAUUGGCCUAGCAUCUACUUCUUCACCGUGUCUGUUCUUGUCACACCUAGUCAGGUCUGUUUGGGUCUGAGGUGCAUGGAACAUUCUGGGUAGGCCUCCAGCAAACGGAAGCUCUUCACCGUGUUUCCAGCCUGGGACCAAGGGCAGCAUACUGGCAAAGUUGCCAAAGCAAGGGACUCCAGCCUCUUAGGAGUUAAUGACUCCCUCUCCCCAGCUGUCCUCCCCUUGGUGCUCCUCUUCCUCCCUCCUCCUGCUCACAGCAGGCAGGGCCUAGACCCGGGAGCCAUGCUGCUGUGCUGUUGCCAGGGGAGCACGGAGGCAGAUCUGAGCUAUGCAGGGAAAAGGCCCAGCCUGUCAAAGUGUCUGAGAUGAACCGCCGCCGUCCCUGUGCAGCUGGGCUCAGACGUGUCUCAGCUCUUGUUCUGUGCCUGAGAAUGGCGAAACCCAGUGAGGUUCAAGGGCAAACUCGCUAUUCAUUAGUCAGGGGUUCUUGACGUCCCGUCUCUCCCAGGGAUGAGUUCCCCCCUCCUCUUUCUCCCCCUCCUAUGACACAUUCCUGGGUGCCUUUGGUGAGGACUGCACACCCUCCUCCUGCCUAGCCCCCUCUCCAAAGGCCCCUGAAUAAACUCCCCCCAAGGAGACCAGGCAGGGCAGAGACAAUGGCUGCAGGAAAUCAUUCAGGCGGGACAUGCUGGCCUGCCCUCCACCCAGUCCCCCUGUGGGCCCCACUCCCUUCUGAUUCAGGGCACCCUUGGGCCCCCAGCCUAUACAGGCCUGGACAGGAAGAAACCACUGGGAACCACCCUAAGGACAACAUGCUAGUCCAGUGCCAUUCUUCGCUGGCUCUGUGGGUGCCUUUGUGGCCUGUACCGACUGGCUGGCUAAUUUUGUGGUUUCUGUACCAUCACAUGCCUAUUUUAAGACACUCUCCAGCACUGUCGGUUAGGGAGUGUAAAUUUUGCAAUAUUUUCUGAAAUGUGGCAAUAUCAAAAUGUAAAAGGCACACAUACUUGGUCACAAACAAAUGGCACUAUUUACUCUGUGGGCAUAUUUGUAAAAGUUGCCAAAGAAUUAUAUACAAGGAUGUUCAUCAGAGCAUUUCUUUUGAAGAGUAAAGAAAUGGACAUGAACCUGUGGUCCGUUCAUACGGUGGAAUACCUAUGCAGCUGUAAAAAUCAGUGUGGUAGAUCUCCGUAUAUGAGUUGAUGUGGAAGGUUGGCCAGUUCACAUGAUAAGGUGAAUAGAAUAAGUUACAGAACAGGCUGUAGAGUAUGAUCUUAUUUGUAGAUGUUUAAAACUGAGUCAUAAGUAUGCUUAUAUACAGAUCGUUUCUGGAAGUAUGUACUGGAAGUCUACCUCUGGGGAGUGGGGAUGGGGGAGUGCACUCUUCUAUACUGUUAUAUUUUCUUUUCAUGCUCCUAAGGUACUUUUAUUGGAAGAUGUAAAGCGGUUCAAUGUAAUAGGCUUAACUUCUGUCAACUAAGUUGGCGUGGGUGCUUUAAGAGGGUGGUAGUGAUGUUGCUGGAGAAAGUAUCCCACAGUCACUGGUGGCUUCAGCCACGGGCCAUUUUGGGGCCUAAUAAUCACAUAUCAUCAUGGUUGCUAGUGUUAAUCGAAAACCUACUAAGUGCCAGGCUUACUGUCUCUGGGUCUUGCUUACGUGGAUGUCAUUUUUCCAGUUGCACCAAAUCGAAAGAGGUUAAUUGGUUUGUUGGAGUUCCUUUGUAGGUGAAGGGCAGAGCCAGGAGCUUGGCUAGGGACAGGGGAGGUGAGUGGGGGAUGGUGGAUAGGUCUUGGCUCCCAGUUUCCUUCUGGGCAGACAUUGCCCCUCUGCCCUGAGGACCUGCUUGUUUGGGGGAAGAGGCCUUUAGAGGCACCAGGGUCAUGCCAGGUGUUGGACAUGGUGAACUGGGAAGUGCUCCCAUCUGGCCACAGCGCAGAAGUAUCACCGUGCUGGGGGAUGGGGAACAGGGCUGUGAAUGGGCCUAUUUGCAUAAGCAGCAUGUGUCUGGAGAGAAAGACAUCACAGAGCAGAAGAGUGCGGGUGCCCAGGAGUGCACUUGCCACCCCUACUUCAUCCCUGAAAGAGUAAAUGGCCUGGAAGGUGUCUCUGAGAGGUAAUGCCGCACACCACCCUCCCUGGGGGCAGGGUCAGGCUACACCUGCCUUAGGUCGGGGGCUGCAGCAGCCUGAGAGCUCUCAGUAGGGCCUCAGUAGCCUGGGAGGGAGCAGGGGCAGGGGGCAGGGAAAGAGGCGUAAUGGGGCUGUCCAGAGGGGCCUGGGAAACCUGGUCCCUGAGGCCUGGGCACAGCUACAAUCACUUCAAAUUGGCUGUGGGGCCAGUGGACUGGGAAGGAAAAAAGCAAUAAGAGUGACCAAGUGCAGAAGGCUGUCAGGUCCCAGGUCACAUGCCUUAGUGCAGUGACUCCUCAUCAUUUUAUGGGGUGUGGGUGUCGUUGGUACACCCAUUUUACAGAUGAGGACACCGAGGCCCAGAAAAGUUAAGUUACAUGUCCUAAGUCACACAGCUUGUAAGUGCCAGAACUGAGAUCAAAACCAAGUCUCUUUGACUUUAAAGUCUGUACUCUGACCCCAAAGAGAUCCUGUUUGGCCACUUAUAGGAGGUCCCUAAAGCUGCAGACUCCCCUUGCCGGCACCCACAUAUAGAGACAUUAACCCUUCCCCUGCAGGGUCACCUCAAAUAGUCUUUUAGCUGGGCUUCUCCUGCAAUUCCACCUAAUGCCAUCCCCUGGGUUUUGCCCAAACCUGAACUGGGCAGUGGGGUGAGAGGAGGGGUUUACAGGGUUACAGAGCCUCAUACAGAUAGGAGCCCAUGGCUGCUGGUCAUCUGCAUUCCUGCAGGAUUGGCUGUUCCUUGGGGUCCUUGGCAGGAAAAUGAGGAUUGCUCCGAGGCCUGCUCCAGUACUUCCCAGAGGCUGGCCUGGUGUGGGGCUCUGGGAAGGCUGAGGCUGGAGAAGCGUAAGUAGGAGGGCAGAGAUGGCACUCAGGUAGCUUGAAUCACCAGGACCCUUCCAAGCCCCACAGGUUCUGAGGGAGUACUAGGGCCAGCUCUGGGAGAGGUCUCUUCCUAUGCUGUGAACCCCCUGCCUUUCUUGCAGCCUACAACGAAUAAAUUUUCUUUGCAAAGG
rnacentral:lncRNA from 10 species